rfam:Pteropus alecto contig40158, whole genome shotgun sequence.
AUCAAUUCUUGACCUUGUGGCUAAGAUCGAGUAUAAUAUCUGUUCUCAUCAGUUUGAUAUCUGUUAUGUCCUCUAUCUGAGGACAAUAUAUUACAUUGAUUUUUGGAACAGGAAAAUGCAACAGGAGCUUGAUCUGUCUGCUCCAUGCAUUGCAGUAUCUCUAGGAAUGGUGUUACCCUUU